AACGAACGCUGGCGGCAGGCCUAACACAUGCAAGUCGAACGCCCUAGCAAUAGGGAGUGGCGCACGGGUGAGUAACGCGUGGGAACGUGCCUUUCAGUCUGGAAUAGCAGCGGGAAAUUGCUGCUAAUACCGGAUAUUCUCUACGGAGGAAAGAUUUAUCGCUGAAAGAUCGGCCCGCGUAAGAUUAGGUAGUUGGUAGGGUAAUGGCCUACCAAGCCUACGAUCUUUAGCUGGUCUGAGAGGAUGAUUAGCCACACUGGAACUGAGACACGGUCCAGACUCCUACGGGAGGCAGCAGUGGGGAAUAUUGGACAAUGGGCGCAAGCCUGAUCCAGCCAUGCCGCGUGAGUGACGAAGGCCUUAGGGUUGUAAAGCUCUUUUAUCAGGGACGAUGAUGACGGUACCUGAAGAAUAAGACACGGCUAACUUCGUGCCAGCCGCCGCGGUAA
rnacentral:rRNA from 1 species